rnacentral:rRNA from 1 species
GACGAACGCUGGCGGCGUGCUUAACACAUGCAAGUCGAACGAAGUGGCGAACGGGUGAGUAACGCGUAAUCAACCUGCCCUUCAGAGGGGGACAACAGUUGGAAACGACUGCUAAUACCGCAUACUGAAGGAGGGGCUUGCGUCUGAUUAGCUAGUGGGAGGGGUAACGGGCCACCAGGGCGAUGAUCGUUAGCCGGGCUGAGAGGAUGAACGGCCAAAUUGGGACUGAGACACCGCCCAGAAUCCUACGGGAGGCAGCAGUGGGGAAUCUUCCGCAAUGGACGAAAGUCUGACGGAGCAACGCCGCGUGAGUGAUGACGGCCUUCGGGUUGUAAAGCUCUGUUAAGCGGGACGCGGUACCGGAAUAGAAAGCCACGGCUAACUACGUGCCAGCAGCCGCGGUAAUUC